CGCCGCGUGAGGGAUGACGGCCUUCGGGUUGUAAACCUCUUUCAGCAGGGACGAAGCGUGAGUGACGGUACCUGCAGAAGAAGCACCGGCUAACUACGUGCCAGCAGCCGCGGUAAUACGUAGGGUGCAAGCGUUGUCCGGAAUUACUGGGCGUAAAGAGCUCGUAGGCGGGUUUGUCGCGUCGGCUGUGAAAACCCGCAGCUCAACUGCGGGCUUGCAGGCGAUACGGGCAGACUUGAGUAUUGCAGGGGAGACUGGAAUUCCUGGUGUAGCGGUGAAAUGCGCAGAUAUCAGGAGGAACACCGGUGGCGAAGGCGGGUCUCUGGGAAAUAACUGACGCUGAGGAGCGAAAAGCGUGGGGUAGCGAACAGGAAUUAGAUACCCUGGUAGUCCACGCCCGUAAACGGUGGGCGCUAGGGUGUGGGUUUCCUUCCACGGGAUCCGUGCCGGAACCUAACGCAUUAAGCGCCCCGCCUGG
rnacentral:rRNA from 1 species